CUAUAGGCCUAAUCUCUACAUUUGUACGUUUCAGUCCAAAAAGACUAUUUCCACAUAUGUAGGUAUCAUUAGCGAAAUUUUUAAGUGUUACCAUUCUUUUUUUGCCUCGUUUCAAUUAGAUCAAAUACUUGAAUUACAUAUAAUCUAACUCUAUUCAGUUCAUUUUCUGCUCGACCUCUAAACAAGGCAAAGAAAAAUUCAACCAACUUUCAAUGGGUUCUCUCAAGCUCUAUUUUGCUGGGAGUAUUCGAGGAGGCAGAAAUGAUGCCGAACUAUAUGCAAGAUUGAUUGAAAAAUUGCAAAAAUACGGAACUGUACUAACUGAACACGUUGGAAGCGACUCAAAAACGGAAGAACUACGAAAAGAAUUAGAAUACAAUGACGAAUAUAUUCAUAAAAGAGAUAUGGAAUGGUUAGAAAGUUGCGAUGCACUUAUUGCCGAAGUUACUCAACCGUCAAUUGGUGUUGGUUACGAAGUUGGUAGGGCGUACGCAAUGAAAAAGUUGAUUUUAUGCCUUUAUAGGCCUCACGAAGGAGCAAAAAGAAUAAGUGCAAUGAUUUCUGGAGCUGUAAACGGUGAGAAUUUCUUUGUAAAAAAUUAUCAAGAAUCCGAAAUUGACGGUAUCUUUGAAGAAUUUUUGUCGAAAAUCAAGUAGAGAGAGAAACUUCAUCAGUUAAGGAAUCUUAUACUCAUCUUUUGUUCAACAUCUACCUUUUGCAUAACCUAUAUGUUUUAAACAUAGAAAAUGAUGAAUAAGUUGAAUAAAAUUUGAAUAAAUUUGAUAAAAUAGAAAUAGAAA
rnacentral:misc_RNA from 1 species